rnacentral:rRNA from 1 species
AGUGAACGCUGGCGGUAGGCCUAACACAUGCAAGUCGAACGGCAGCACAGGAGAGCUUGCUCUCUGGGUGGCGAGUGGCGGACGGGCGAGGAAUACAUCGGAAUCUACUCUGUCGUGGGGGAUAACGUAGGGAAACUUACGCUAAUACCGCAUACGACCUACGGGUGAAAGCAAGGGACCUUCGGGCCUUGCGCGAUUGAAUGAGCCAAUGUCGGAUUAGCUAGUUGGCGGGGUAAAGGCCCACCAAGGCGACGAUCCGUAGCUGGUCUGAGAGGAUGAUCAGCCACACUGGAACUGAGACACGGUCCAGACUCCUACGGGAGGCAGCAGUGGGGAAUAUUGGACAAUGGGCGCAAGCCUGAUCCAGCCAUACCGCGUGGGUGAAGAAGGCCUUCGGGUUGUAAAGCCCUUUUGUUGGGAAAGAAAUCCAGCUGGCUAAUACCCGGUUGGGAUGACGGUACCCAAAGAAUAAGCACCGGCUAACUUCGUGCCAGCAGCCGCCGCCG